rnacentral:rRNA from 1 species
GACAGAGGGGGCAAGCGUUGCUCGGAAUUACUGGGCGUAAAGGGCGCGUAGGCGGGAUGGCAAGUCGGUCGUGAAAUGCCUCGGCUCAACUGAGGAUCGUCGAUCGAUACUGCCGUUCUUGAGGAUUGCAGAGGAGACUGGAAUUCCCGGUGUAGCGGUGAAAUGUGUAGAGAUCGGGAGGAACACCGGUGGCGAAGGCGGGUCUCUGGGCAAUUCCUGACGCUGAGGCGCGAAAGCGUGGGGAGCAAACAGG